GUAAGCGACCUCUUUUCGGACUCCUGUAAGAAUCGGACUCCGUCCGAACUUCUCCAGCGGAUGAAUUCCAGAUGAACUUCUACAACAGACGGACUCUAGCAGCCAAAUUUGUACAAUGACUGACCGUCUUUGGGGUCUUCCGUACCUCUCCAGCCAUCAACCUUCAAUAGCGACAAUCGGACUUCAAUAGCGCCAACCAGACUUCCACAGUAUCCUCCAGACUCCUUCAGCGGACGAACUUCCACAACGCCAUCUGAAUUCCACUAU
rnacentral:lncRNA from 1 species